UACGGAGGGGGCUAGCGCUGUUCGGAAUUACUGGGCGUAAAGCGCACGUAGGCGGCUUUGUAAGUUAGAGGUGAAAGCCCGGGGCUCAACCCCGGAAUUGCCUUUAAGACUGCAUCGCUAGAAUUGUGGAGAGGUAAGUGGAAUUCCGAGUGUAGAGGUGAAAUUCGUAGAUAUUCGGAAGAACACCAGUGGCGAAGGCGACUUACUGGACACAUAUUGACGCUGAGGUGCGAAAGCGUGGGGAGCAAACAGG
rnacentral:rRNA from 1 species